GACCCUCCACUUUUCCACUAGUUUGUCCACCGGUGAAAAGGAGAAGCCAGCCAAGAACCAGCAGCUUCUGGCUACCUUGAUCAGAAGGUUGAUGAAGGCAAUGAAACAGAGAUGGAAAAACACAUCACACAGGUGUGACUGACUAGUUGCAGGAAAACAAGCUCAGGGCUCCCACUGAUUCUACAUUUUGAAUCUGUUCAAAUCUUCUGCCCACGGAGAUCAAGGCCAUCCUGGCUAACACAGUGAAACCCUGUCUCUACUAAAAAUACAAAAAAUUAG